rnacentral:sRNA from 1 species
UCAUUUGAUAUUGCAGCAGAUCCGCCAUUUAUGACAGAUUGAUUUAGAAAGUCCAACGAUUUUGUGUUCUUUGUCGCAUCACUUUGAUGACAUUCGGCCAGGUUGUCUUGAUUGAAUCUGUAUCUGUAACAAGUUGACGGCUUAAUACCAUAAAACGUCGUUUGAUGGCAAGCAAUGUGCCACACUUUUGGGAUGCUUUUGAAGUUUUUCAUCACCUUCUAUUGUCACAAAAUGUUUUAAGCAAUUAAUAACAAAUCGAAAAUGAAUGAAGAUCAAAGGAAUUUUCACACUUCACAGGUGCACUACUACUUAAGUUUAUCUAUGGCCAUGCAAUCACACUGCAAUUAGCAAGUGUUUAUUGAUUGCUGAUCCACUAG